rnacentral:rRNA from 1 species
AUGAAGCUCCUAUGUUGGAACAUACGGGGCUUUGGACACCUCGGUCGGAGGCGGCAACUGAUUGAUUACCUUAGGCAGGAGGAGAUAGAUAUAGUUAGUCUGCAAGAGACGAUUAGGCAGGACUUUACCAUCCAGGAGCUCCAGGGACUCUCGCCGCACCCAUUUUGCCGUGCAAUGGUUGCCGACGACGGGGCUCUCAGGGGGCCUCCUGUUGGGGGUUCGGGAGGACUUGUUCUCGGUUGA